GGACAGGCUGGCCCACCUUGCCUCAAAACCACCAAGCCCCUUAGGAGUCCCCUUGCUCCCCAGCCCCUCCAAGACCUGGACUUGGCUGUGCCAGAGACGGCCAGACUGGACAGCAGUUUACACAAGGCCCGGGCCCAACUGUUGGCCAAGGGCCGGAGACACCGGCCGUCCCGCUCCAGGCUUCGGGACAGUGCCAGCUCCGCGGAGGAUGGUGAAGGCUCCGACGGGCCCGGAGGCAAGGUGACCGACGGCUGCGGGAGCCCCCUGCACCGGCUGCGCUCGCCUUUGCACUCAGGCCCGGGGUCCCCGGCCGGGGGCUCUUUCUGCUUGGAUCCUCCGGGGUUGCGGCGCAGCCUGGACGAGGACGAGCCGCCGCCCUCGCCGCUCACACGCUACCGGCCCCUGCACAACGCUGCGUCGCACGAGGGCCUGGCCGCCGCCUCCUGCUCUCCGCCGCGCUCCGCGCCCUCCUCCGACAGCUCCCCCAGCUUCGUGCGCCGCCACCCGCGCGCAGAGCCGCACAGCGAAGGACACCCAGCUAGUGAAGGCCACCAGAGCCAGGAGCCUGAUUCUAAGUCAAGAGAAUUUCUACCACCCCAUACUGGCAGCCGAAGGAGGCAGGCAGGGCAGCAAACAGGCAAUUUCCUUCCUUCUCUCCCUGGAAAGAUGACAGCCGCGAUGCCAGUCCUCCCGAGCCCGCCAGCCCCACCAUCGGCCUGGAUAAGAAGACUCGCCGAAAGUUCCUGGACCUGGG
rnacentral:sRNA from 1 species